CAGGGUACCCUCCGACCCUACUUAGUUCAACCAAAUGAACUAAACUUUCAAAAAUGAAGUAAAUUAUGAAAUUUUAGUUCAUUUAGUUGAACUAAAGAGGGUCGGAGGGUACCCUC
rfam:Triticum aestivum genome assembly, contig: Triticum_aestivum_CS42_TGACv1_scaffold_000099_1AL